AUGACUCAACAAGAUGUAACCCAUUUCUGGCACUGCGGCCUUUACUUGGCUGCUGCUUUGCCUGAAUGGUGACGUUCUUUGUCAUUCAGAACCUUUUCAGCUGCAUGAGGUCGAUUUAUCAGCUAUAUGAAUUCCUGUCAGAUGUCAGAUGUAAAAGUCCCUAGGAAGGAGGACUGUUGGCACUCUACAUGGCUCCUUCCCUCAAAUGAUGGUGUCCUUUGCUGUACGGAAGCUUCUUAGUCCACAAGGUCCCAUUUGGUUAUUACUCAGGAUAUCAGGUCUUCUCUUGAUCCACUUGAACUAGAGUCUUUGUUUCGCUGAGGCUAUGGAACCAGAAUGUGAAUAUCGCCAGGAAAGCAAGAUGGUGACUAUGCUCCUGACACAUACGAGGGACCAUGAACCUGGUGACCUGUGAGGAAGAAAUCUGUUUCUGUGCUCAUCGGAAGAAUACAGAAUGUGGAAAAUUAGCUGGGGAAAAUCCAUUACUGUGUAUACAUUAUGAACCCAAAUUGCUGAUAACAGAGCAAAGGAGCAAUGGAGAGUGUGCAAAUCCCAUGGGGACAUCCAUCCACUUGGACAGGUGGUAUUUCAACAAUAAUGUGUGUAGUCUUUCAAAGUACCCACAACCAAGGUGUGAACAGUAACUACUGAACUAUGUCUCUCUUAUGACUACAAAGACUAGAGCAGGAAUCUCACAACCAAGGAAGAGUGUAUAUACAUCAGCUUAGGGGUAUCCAUUCUGUUGUCUAUAAAGAACCUAGAGUAGACCAUGACACUUAUGACCAAGAGAGAAUUUCUAAAUUAACCUGGGGUGGGGUGGGGAAUCUAUCACAGUGUCUAUCCACGACCACAAAGGCUAGAUCAUGAGGUUUAUUUUCAAGCGAGACUGUAUGAAGUCGGAUUGCAGGAUAUCCAUUACUGUAUCAGUCCUGCAGACACAAACAGGGAAUCUCAAACUUCAAGGCUAAAGAAUAACAUGUAAAUCAGCUUGGAGGUAUACAUUACUGUGGCUAUAUUACAAUCUGAAACAGCUUAUUAUGGGGCUUAUGAUCAAACGAGAGUGUGAAAACCAUCCUGGUGGCAGAACGCAUUAUCAGUUGUUGAGCUCCAUCCACAUGGUGAUAGGACGACCAUGGACCUCCCAGGCAGAAAAUCAUGUGUCAGCACCUAUCCUGGGAGUACAAAGCAGCAAAGAUAAUGAAAAGAUUGAUAUUUGUCCAUUUAUUUUUACAUUUUUCCUUUCAUUGUUUAAGAGUCAAAUUGUGAUAAUUUUCUUAAGAAACCAAGUUAAAAAAAAAGAAAUAAAAAUUGAUAAUUUUU